CCCAAUUUAACUAGGGUUAUAAUGGCAAUUUUAAUUUGUUUAAAAACAAAAUAAAUUAAUUUUUAAAUACAAUGGCAAUUAUGCAAUUAAACCGUAAUUGCGAAGCAGUAAAUAUUUGGAUUAGUUAAAGAGGGACAUAGUCAAAUGGCACAUAUUUGUAAAUUUAUUGGAAAGUAGGGGUAGCAACUAAGCCUUAAUUGUCUUCCUCCUGGCGAUUCAAGAUUUUAUAGAACACCAUGGUAACGGCCGUUAUUUAAAUGAAUAUAAGUUUAUCAUUACCAUUAUAGCCAUUAUAUGAUGGAUUUUUAAAGUUGGGUGUGUAAGGAUCAUUAUGACUAUUAUGUAAAGGUAAAGGGUGUUACGACCUGUUACUUAACGGCCGUAACGUCCUCUAUUAUUUUUGGUAGAGAAUCUUGGGCUUUUUGAGAGCAAUCGUGUGAAGCGGCGGCAG
rnacentral:misc_RNA from 1 species